rnacentral:rRNA from 1 species
UACGGGGGGGAGCAAGCGUUGUUCGGAUUUACUGGGCGUAAAGGGCGCGUAGGCGGCUUAACAAGUCACUUGUGAAAUCUCCGGGCUUAACUCGGAACGGCCAAGUGAAACUGUCAAGCUAGAGUGCAGAAGGGGCAAUCGGAAUUCUUGGUGUAGCGGUGAAAUGCGUAGAUAUCAAGAGGAACACCUGAGGUGAAGACGGGUUGCUGGGCUGACACUGACGCUGAGGCGCGAAAGCGUGGGGAGCGAACAGG